UACAUAUAUAAAUACAUAUAUAUAUACACAUAUAUAUAUAUACACAUAUAUAUACACAUAAUAUAUAUAUAUACACAUAUAUAUAUACACAUACAAGUAUCCAGUGUGUUAUGACGAGCAGGGAUUAAAUUGGGAGGUGGGAGGAAGGGGUGUGACCAACAACCAACAGAGUCCCACCACCUCCAGGGUACAGUGAGACACUGUAUACAGUGACAGUUCAAUAGAUUCAUAUGAAAAAUUUACCAAUUUUGGGGGACAGAGAGACAGGACAGUUUCAUCACCUUACAAAAUCCAUAUUUAACCCCUGGUUUUAAGUGGAGCGGCUGCCACUUUAAAAGCUUGUUUCCUCAAACAAACAUUUCUCUAAUGGGUUAAUGUUUAAAAAGCUAGGCUAGUCCUUUAAAAGGAAAAGAGGACAAGGGGUAAAAGACUCAGCACCCCCCCCCCCACGUUGUUUUUAAGGUACAAAAAAAUAAGCGAUAUUUCUUAUCAACCAGACGUUGUACAACAGCUUGUUAUUAACAUUUUGAUUUGGGAGUCUGAAAAACACUCCAAAGGUUUUUAUUUUUAGAUUUUUUGUUUUGUUUAUUUGUUUAAUUUGAGACCAACACCUAAAGGAAAAAGGUUAAAGUAUCCUUUCUGAAACACCACAGUUUCAAACACUUAACAAGCAGUUUGUUUUCUCUAUACACGGCUGCAUGUCACAUACGUACAUGCAGGACACCCUAUAGGGGAACUGGAUUCUAUCAGAGCCAUAUAUACAUUAAUACUGUAUUAUAUAUAUAUAUGUCUCUGGGUUCUUCCCCCUAUGCAACAAUGGUUCUUUACCCAGGAAAGACAUUUGUAGCAAACAUAGCCAGCUAAAUAUUUUGGUAGCAAGAAAACAUAUUUUUUUUCUGUCAUUUUGAUGGCUCAAAUGAGUUAUACCAAUAACUGUCAAUCACUUUGUAUUGUAUUGUUUUUUUUGUAUUGGUUCCAACCAACCACUGUUGGAAAGAAAACAUUUGUUUUGAUGAAGCUUGAAAUAAUUGCUAUUCAUAAUUCUAAUAAGGCUUUGGGGUAUUUGAGCAGCAACUUCUAACAUAUACAAUCUCUGCCUUGUUUGUCAAAACAGCCUAGUCUAAAAAGAAGCAUACAGAAGAGCAGGCUCUCCUAGUUAUCUCCAUAAACAAUGAUAGAAUCAUAGAAUACAGCAUAAAUGCACUGGAGAACAUUAGUUAAACACCCCAGUGUUCUACUUUCACAUUGCUGGUCAGUCACAUUUAAAAUCCUUUUUCUUUAGCAUACAAGUUGGUUGUCUUUCAAAUGCUGUCACAAUUCUCUAUUGAUGAGGUGAAUUAGCUGCUUAUGUCAUGCAUUAUUCCCUCUAUUUUCUUCUGACGUUGAAGAUAUAUAUAAUAUAUAUAUAUAUAUAUAUAUAUAUAUAUAUAAUAUCACCAGAGUACAGUGUAGCUCGCUAUCGAUAGAGAAAAUAGCAAGGGAACUUAACCAAUUAAGUCAAGCUGCUGGUUAUCAUGUUGUAGGAACACGGUUGUGUCAGUUCACUUUCAAAUGUCAAAAUCUCAACUGUCAGAAGUUGGACUAUAGACAAUAAAUGCAGUUAUAAAGAGUGGAAGUGAUGGGAAUGCCUAAGGCUGAAGGCAUCACGUCAUAUUCAAGGGAACCAUAUUAGGUCAAAAGUCAAGUCAAUAUUCUAAAAGUUGGAUAUAUACUAUAGAUAAAUAAGGUGCAACUAUUCCUCAAGGAAUUAUUCUACUUGAUUAACACAAUGCUAAAAAAAAAACUACUGUAAAGUAAUCAUUCGGGUCAAAUCACAGAAAUGUCCUACUGUGUUUUACAGCAAGUAUGGAUGGGUGGAGAGUGACAAGUUGAGAAGGCAGAUCUAGGAUCAGGUCCACAAUGUCCAUAUAAUCUUCUUCAUUAUGAUCUAAAAGGCAAAACUGACCCUAGAUCAGCACUCCUACUCAGAGACACAAGAAUACAGGCACAGGUCAAGAAGAGUCAUCUCUCAUAUACUGUGUCUCUCACAUCAUGAAACCGACGGCAGUGAGCUGCUCACAGUAUAUUUUCCUCCACAGUAUAUCUUCCUCCACAGUAUAUUGUCCUCCACUGUCCGUGUCCCCAUAACGGGCUCGAACCAGUGACCAUCCUCGUUGACAAAGUACCGACCGAUUGAGCUAUACAAAAGGAUCCAAUUGGAUGGCUCCAUCGACGACAUUUCAAGCUAGCUGUGGAGUGACCUUACGGCACGUUCUUAACUCUGUUACAACGACAACACUAGAUGAUGGGAGUAUUAGGAUAAGGAAAUGAGGAUCUGGAUGGUAGCAGUGAGGUUGAAGGUGGGUCAGGGAUUAAAUGGGGGUCAGUGAGCUGAAUGUGUUACCCCAUACAGUAGGAGGUUAAAGGGGGUGAGUUAAAUGUGUUACCCCAUACAGUAGGAGGUUAAAUGGGGGUUGAGGUGGAGGGGGGUCAGGGAGCAGUAGCAGGUUAAAGGGGGAUCAGGGAGCAGUAGGAGGUUAAAGGGGGAUCAGGGAGCAGUAGGAGGUUAAAGGGGGAUCAGGGAGCAGUAGGAGGUUAAAGGGGGAUCAGGGAGCAGUAGGAGGUUAAAGGGGGAUCAGGGAGCAGUAGGAGGUUAAAGGGGGAUCAGGGAGCAGUAGGAGGUUAAAGGGUGAUCAGGGAGCAGUAGGAGGUUAAAGGGGGAUCAGGGAGCAGGAGGUUAAAGGGGGAUCAGGGAGCAGUAGUAUGUUAAAGGGGGAUCAGGGAGCAGUAGGAGGUUAAAGGGGGAUCAGGGAGCAGUAGGAGGUUAAAGGGGGAUCAGGGAGCAGGAGGUUAAAGGGGGAUCAGGGAGCAGUAGUAUGUUAAAGGGGGAUCAGGGAGCAGUAGGAGGUUAAAAGUGGGGACAUAGAGUAGGUUAUAUAUCUUUAAAGAACCCCUCGUUUGGAACUUCCAUGAGGUCAAAGGUGCUUUGAUACAUACAGUGCCUUCAGAAAGUAUUCACACCUCUUGACUAUUUCCCACAUCUUGUUGUGUUACAGCCUGAAUUUAAAAUGGAUUAAAUGUAGAUUUUUGUUUGUCAAUUGCCGACACACAAUACCGCAUAAUGUCAAAAUGGAAUUACAGUACUAGUCAAAAGUUUGGACACACCUACUCAUUCAAGGGUUUUUCUUUAUUUUUACUAUUUUCUACAUUGUAGAAUAAUAGUGAAGACAUCAAAACUAUGGAAAUUACACAUAUGGAAUCAUGUAACCAAAAAAGUGUUAAACAAUUCAAAAUAUAUUUUAUAUUUGAGAUUCUUCAAAGUAGCCACCAUUUGCCUUGAAGACAGCUUUGCACACUCUUGGCAUUCUCUCAACUAGCUUCAUGAGGUAGUCACCUGGAAUGCAAUUCAAUUAACAGGUGUGCCUUGUUAAAAGUGAAUUUGUGGAAUUUCAUUCCUUAAUGCGUUUGAACCAAUCAGUUGUGUUGUGACAAGGUAGGGGUGGUAUACAGAAGAUAUCCCAUUUUGGUAAAAGGCCAAGUCCAUAUUAUGGCAAGAACACCUCAAAUAAGCAAAGAGAAAUGAGAGUCCAUCUUUACUUUAAGACAUGAAGGUCAGUCAUUUCAGAAAAUUUCAAGAACUUUGAAAGUUUCUUCAAGUGCAGUCGCAAAAACCAUCAAGCGCUAUGAUGAAACUGGCUCUCAUGAGGACCGCCACAGGAAUGGACCCAGAGUUACCCAGAGUUACCUCUGCUGCAGAAGAUAAGUUCAUUUGAGUUACCAGCCUCAGAAAUUGCAGCCCAAAUAUAUGCGCUUAGUGGGACUAUCAUUUGUUUUUCAACAGGACAAUGACCCAAAACACACCUCCAAGAUGUGUAAUGGCUAUUUGACCAAGAAGGAGAGUGAUGGAGUGCUGCAUCAGAUGACGUGGCCUCCACAAUCACCCGACCUCAACUCAAUUGAGAUGGUUUGAGAUGAGUUGGACCACAGAGUGAAGUAAAAGCAGCCAACGAGUGCUCAGUAUGUGUGGGAACUCCUUCAAGACUGUUGGAAAAGCAUUCCAGGUGAAGCUGGUUGAGAGAAUGCCAAGAGUGUGCAAAGCUGUCAUCAAUGCAAAGGGUGGCUUUGAAGAAUCUAAAAUAUAUUUUGAUUUGAUUAACAGUUUUCUGGUUACUACAUGAUUCCAUAUGUGUUAUUUCCAUAGUUUUGAUGUCUUCACUGUUAUUCUACAAUGUAGAAAAUAGUAAAAUAAAGAAAAACCCUUGAAUGAGUAUGUGUGUUCAAACUUUUGUCUGGUACUGUAUGUUUUUAGAAAUUAUUUGAAAUUAAUAAAAAAUGUAAAGCUGAAAUGUCUUGAGUCAACAACUAUUCAACCCAUUUGUUAUGGCAAGCAUAAAUAGGUUCAUGUUACAUAAAACGUUGCAUGGACUCACUCUGUGUGCAAUAAUAGUGAUUCAUAGUAAUAAACAUGAUUUUUGAAUGACUACCUCAUCUAUGUACCCCACACAUACAAUUAUCUGUAAGGUCCCUCAGUUGAGCAGUGAAUUUCAAACACAGAUUCAACCAAUGCCUCGCAUAAAAGGGCACCCAUUAGUAGAUGGGUAAAAAAAAGCAGACAUUGAAUAUCCCUUUGAGCAUGGUGAAGUUAUUAAUUACACUAAUUACACCCAGUCACUACAAAGAUAGAAGCGUCCUUCCUAACUCAGUUGCCAGAGAGGAAGGAAAUCGCUCAGGGAUUUCACCAUGAGGCCAAUGGUGACUUUAAAACAGUUACAGUGUUUAAUGGCUGUGAUAGGAGAAAACUGAGGAUGGAUCAACAACAUUGUAGUUACUCCACAAUAUUAACAUAAUUACAGAGGGCAAAGAAGGAAGCCUGUACAGAAUAAAAAUUAUCCAAAACAUGCAUCCUGUUUGCAAUAAGGCACUAAAGUAAAAAAGCAAAAAAUGUGGCAAAACAAUUACCUUUUUUGUCCUAAAUACAAAGUGUUAUGUUUGAGGCAAAUCCAAUACAACACAUUACUGAGUACCACUCUCCAUAUUUUCAAGCAUAGUGGUGGCUGCAUCAUGCUCUGGGUAUGCUUGUAAUCGUUAAGGACUGGGGAGUUUUUCAGGAUAAAAAAUAAAUGGAAUGGUGCUAAGCACAGGCAAAACCUUGUUCAGUCUGCAUUCCACCAGAUACUGGGAGAUUAAUUCACCUUUCAGCAGGACAAUAACCUAAAACAAAAGGCCCCAUCUAGACUGGAGUUUCUUACCGAGAAGUCUGUGAAUGUUCCCGAGUGGCCGAGUUACAGUUUCGACUUAAAUCUACCUAAAACUUUAUGGAAAGACCUGAAAAGGGUUGUUUAGCAAUGACCAACAACCAAUUUGACAGAGCUUGAAUGAUUUUGAAAAUAAUAAUGGGCAGAUGUUGUACAAUCCAGGUGUGCAAAGCUCUUAGAGACUUACCCAGAAAGACUGACAGCUGUACUCGCUGCCAAAGGUGCUUGCAUCUACAACAAAUUGACUCAGGGGUGUAAAUACUUACGGAAAUGAGAUAUUUCUGUAUUUAAUUUUCAAUAAAUGUGCAACAAAAAAAAAUCUAAAAACAUGUUUUCACUUUCUCAUUAUUGGGUAUUGUGUGUAGAUGGAUGAGAAAAAAUAUAUAAUUAAUACAUUUUGAAUUCAGGAUGUAACACAACCAAAUGUGGAAUAAAUCAAAGGGUAUAAAUACUUUCUGAAGGCACUGUAUAGGCUUAAAAAUGUAAUUCUCCAAUUUCAAACAUGUUUUGGGGAAAUGUCACCCACUCUUUCUUUAAACAAAAUAAAUAUCUUAGUUCACUAGACGUGAACUAGGACUUAAGCUGUGGAAACUGACGAUUUGACCUGAAUGUAUACUUUACAGUACCAUUCACUAUUGGUUACCAAUAUAUUAACAUCUAUUCUAUGGGACCAGUGACUAAUUUUAAAGUUCAGCCAUUUACAUUUUUUGGGAUGUAACACAAACGGUGAUGUAUAUAAACCCUGGAUUGCUGAUGCUAUGUAUAUUUUUUCAAUGUUUAUUUUUAUGUUUAGCUCACAUAAUAUAAUAACAAAAAUAUGCAUUAACAUGUCUGUAAUAUACUGAACAAAAACAUAAAUGCAACAUGUAAAGUGUUGGUCCCAUGUUUCAUGAACUGAUAUAAAUGAUAUGUUCCAAAUGCACAAAAGCUUCUUUUUCUCAGAUUUUUUUUUACAUCCGUUAGUGAGCAUUUCUCCUUUGCCAAGAUAAACCAUCCACUUGACAGGUGUGGCAUAUCAAGAAGCUGAUUAAACAGCAUGAUCAUUACACAGGUGCACCUUGUACUGGGGACAAUAAAAGGCCACUCUAAAAUGUGCAGUGUUGUCACACAACACAAUGCCACAGGUGUCUCAAGUUUUGAGGGAGCCUGCAAUUGGCAUGCUGACUGCAGGAAUGUCCACCAGAGCUGUUGCCAGAGAAUGUUAUGUUCAUUUCUCUACCAUAAGACGCCUACAAGGUUAUUUUAUAGAAUUUGGCAGUACGUCCAACCAGUCUCACAACCGCAGACCACGUGUAACCACGCCAGCCCAGGACCUCCACAUCCGGCUUCUUUACCUGCGGGAGCAUCUGAGACCAGCCAACUGGACAGCUAAUGAAGCUGAGGAGUAUUUCUGUCUGUAAUAAAGACCUUUUGUUGUGAAAAACUAAUUCUGAUUGGCUGGGCCUGGCUCGCAAGUGGGGCCUAAUUUAUUUAUUUAAAAUGACUGAUUUCCUUAUAUGAAGUGUAACUCAGUACAAUCGUUGAAAUUGUUGCAUGUUGCAUUUAUAUUUUUGUUCAGUAUAGAAUAAACGUGGCAAAAACAAAUGUAGACUUUAUAAAUGCAUUUCUAUAGCUUCCAAAAUAUUUUUUUUCAACGGUGGGGGAGUUCCAAGAUGGAGGUACGGCGGCUUCAAAACAGCGCUCCCUGUCAGUCAUCUAGUGUAUAUAUAAAUCAUUGAACACAACCUAUUGUUUCCAAUAUGUUACACUUAAAAGCUAACAAUGCUCCAAAAGGUGACAAUUCCUUUGACUUUGUUUUUUAUGUUUACAUCUUUUUUUUUUUGCAGCCUAUUUUUGAUACCCAACCCAACAUCAAUAUCCAUACAACCUAAUGUUAUGGUCUCUAGCACAGUGACUACAAUGUUAGGCCACAGUUCUCUUCUCUUCCAUCUCUUCCUAUAGGUCAUUUUUGGUCUCAAGUAUUUCUUUGUCUUCCUCAUUCUGAUUUUUACUACUCUGUGAUAGGUCAGAGGCAUAUCCUCUCUCCACCUCCAUGCCGUUGCUGGAUAGGUCCAUCCCUCUAUCGGUCAUUGUCACGUCAUCCAACGAGCCAAUAAGCAGCUGAGCUGAGGUGUCUAUUGCUGGAGUGGUGCUAGUGUCUGUUGUUCUGCUGUUGGUAACAGUCCUGCAUGGGGAUGAGAGGGUGAAAGGUCAGUGUCCAUCACCAUAGGAACAUACUGGGGGAAAACAUGCCGAAGGAAGAGGCUGAGAGGGAGGGAAAGAAGUAGGAAUGGAGAGAGAGAUGGGACAGGGAAAGGAGAAGAGAGGGAUGCAAGAUCCCAGUAAACACAAUUACGUUGAAAAUAUGUCUUUUAGACAUCUAGUUGCUGAAUCAAAGUUGAAAAUAUGUAUUUUCCGGACGUUGAAAAUACAUAUUCAACAGGGCAUUGAAAUUGGGUGCAUUUCAGGUGCGGAAUGAAAGGUGAAAAUACAUAUUCUACAGGGCAUUGAAAAGACUUCAAUUACAGACAUUGAAAAUAUGUUAAUAACAGAUGUUGAAUACUUAUUUUUUCAGUCAUUGAUUCUAUGGCCAACUUUCAUAUGCAUAUACACUACCGUUCAAACAUUUGGGGUCACUUAGAAAUGUCCUUGUUUUUGAAAGAAAAGCACCUUUUUUGUCCAUGAAAUUAACAUCAAAUUGAUCUGAAAUACAGUGUAGACAUUGUUAAUGUUGUAAAUGACUAUUGUAGCUGUAAACGGCUGAUUUGUAAUGGAAUAUAUACAUAGGCGUACAGAGCCCAUUAUAAGCAACCAUCACUCCUGUGUUCCAAUGGUAAUCCAAGUUUAUCAUUUUUAAAAGGCUAAUUGAUCAUUAGAAAACCCUUUUGCAAUUAUGUUAG
rnacentral:lncRNA from 1 species